rnacentral:ncRNA from 2 species
CCAAUAGCGUAUAUUAAAGUUGUUGCAGUUAAAAAGCUCGUAGUUGAAUUUCGGGACCAAUCUGCCGGUCGUGCCUCCGGUACGCACUGGUUUUAUUGGUUUCUCCCUUCUGACGAACCAUGAUGUCAUUAAUUUGGUGUCAUGGGGAAUCAGGACUGUUACUUUGAAAAAAUUAGAGUGUUUAUAGCAGGCUCACGCUUGAAUACAUUAGCAUGGAAUAAUGAAAUAGGACGUUUGACCCUAUUUUGUUGGUUUCUAGGAUCGACGUAAUGAUUAAUAGGGAUAGUUGGGGGCAUUAGUAUUCAAUUGUCAGAGGUGAAAUUCUUGGAUUUAUUGAAGACUAACUACUGCGAAAGCAUUUGCCAAGGAUGUUUUCAUUAAUCAAGAACGAAAGUUAGGGGAUCGAAGACGAUCAGAUACCGUCGUAGUCUUAACCAUAAACUAUGCCGACUAGGGAUCGGAUGAUGUUAAUUUUUUAAUGACUCAUUCGGCGCCUUACG